rnacentral:misc_RNA from 1 species
GAUGAAGAACGCAGCGAAAUGCGAUAAGUAAUGUGAAUUGCAGAAUUCAGUGAAUCAUCGAAUCUUUGAACGCACAUUGCGCCCCCUGGUAUUCCGGGGGGCAUGCCUGUUCGAGCGUCAUUUCACCACUCAAGCCUCGCUUGGUAUUGGGCAACGCGGUCCGCCGCGUGCCUCAAAUCGACCGGCUGGGUCUUCUGUCCCCUUAGCGUUGUGGAAACUAUUCGCUAAAGGGUGUUCGGGAGGCUACGCCGUAAAACAACCCCAUUUCUAAGGUUGACCUCGGAUCAGGUAGGGAUACCCGCUGAACUUAAGCAUAUCAAUAAGCGGAGGA